rnacentral:lncRNA from 1 species
AGCAGGUUCAGAAAUUGUAGAAGAUGGAUCCUAGAAAAUGAAAGAAAUAUUAUACUCAAUAUCAUCAUAAUAACUAUGAUUAAAAUUUAAUAAAAUUACAUUCUCAUCAACAUCCUCAUCAUUCAUCUUGGAGUAACUUCCAAAAUAUGCAGACGGUGUAGAAUUCGCUGUUAAUAAAAUAAAAUAAUUAGUAAUAAGAGAAUUCAUAAAAGAAACAAUAUAAAAAGCAAAUGUUUAUAUACAUUGUACCGUGAAUAUCGGCCCAUAACCAAUCUUGAGCACACAUUAAACCUCCAAAAUUUUGGGUUGAAGUUUAUCUUUGUUUGGACUAACAAAUCUACCACUAGUACUGAAGGUAGAUUCAAAUGCCCAAUAGAUACUGGGAUGGCCAAAAUAUCUUUUGCAAUUCGAGAUAAAGUCGGAUAUUUGAUUGCAUUCACUUUCCAAAAUGUCAAUAUAUCAAAAUCAUCCGACCGAGGCAAUAUAGGCUCAUCCAAAAAAAGUAUCAAGCUCAGUUUUCACACUACUAGGAGCUUCAAAAUUAGAAACAAAUUUAUAAAAUUCUGCCAUGCGACCUAAUUUAUUAUUAGCACUUGACGUCUUGGUUUGACAAGAAGAAGUAGAAGACUCAGCUACAGACCUACUUGAAUCAUUCUUUUUUUGAUA